GACGAACGCUGGCGGCGUGCUUAACACAUGCAAGUCGAACGCUGAAGCUCAGCUUUUGUUGGGUGGAUGAGUGGCGAACGGGUGAGUAACACGUGAGUAACCUGCCUCCUUCUUUGGGAUAACGCCCGGAAACGGGUGCUAAUACUGGAUAUUCACUGGUCUUCGCAUGGGGGUUGGUGGAAAGGGUUUUUCUGGUGGGGGAUGGGCUCGCGGCCUAUCAGCUUGUUGGUGGGGUGAUGGCCUACCAAGGCUUUGACGGGUAGCCGGCCUGAGGGGGUGACCGGUCACAUUGGGACUGAGAUACUGCCCAGACUCCUACGGGAGGCAGCAGUGGGGAAUAUUGCACAAUGGGCGCAAGCCUGAUGCAGCGACGCCGCGUGAGGGAUGGAGGCCUUCGGGUUGUGAACCUCUUUCGCUCAUGGUCAAGCCGCAACAAUGGUUGUGGUGAGGGUAGUGGGUAAAGAAGCGCCGGCUAACUACGUG
rnacentral:rRNA from 1 species